rnacentral:piRNA from 1 species
UGCCACAGUUAGGAUGAUGACUGCCU